rnacentral:rRNA from 1 species
GACGAACGCUGGCGGCGUGCUUAACACAUGCAAGUCGAACGGAAAGGCCCUGCUUUUGUGGGGUGCUCGAGUGGCAAACGGGUGAGUAACACGUGAGUAACCUGCCCUUGAAUUUGGGAUAACUUCAGGAAACUGGGGCUAAUACCGGAUAGGAGCUCCUGCUGCAUGGUGGGGGUUGGAAAGUUUCGGCGGUUGGGGAUGGACUCGCGGCUUAUCAGCUUGUUGGGGGGGUAGUGGCUUACGAAGGCUGUGACGGGUAGCCGGCCUGAGAGGGUGACCGGCCACAUUGGGACUGAGAGACGGCCCAGACGCCUAUGGGAGGCAGCAGUGGGGAAUAUUGCACAAUGGGCGGAAGCCUGAUGCAGCAACGCUGCGUGCGGGAUGACGGCUUUCGGGUUGUAAACCGCUUUCGCCUGUGACGAAGCGUGAGUGACGGUAAUGGGUAAAGAAGCACCGGCUAACUACGUG